GGAUUAGUCAAUGGAAGAGUUUUAUGUGAUCGGUUUGGUGCUUCCGACAUAAGAAAUAAUUUCCCGGCAGAGUAAUGGCUGUGGUUUCUCAACCGUCACUCCGUUAUUUUUUGCCUUAUCUUCUCAAAAGAUCUGGUUUUAUUCAUUUUUUUCCCUUAGCGUUUUCCAUUUUUCUCCGCCGCUGAAGAAGAAGAGAAGAACUGAUAGCUAGGUUUGCUCUCGUGUCUUAUCUUCUCUGCUACCAUCUUGUCCGUAUGUUCUCGAUCUGUUGUUCCAUUGACGGAUCUGUUCUCUGAACAAAAAUUUUUUCUUUUCAAUUCUUCUUUCGAUCUUGGUUCAUAAAACCAGAAAAUUCCUUCUUUCGAUUUUCGAUUUUGGUUAAGAACAUGGAGAAGAUUGAACUGUUGUUGAGUUCAUGAAGAAGAAUUAAAGGGUUGUAGAAGACGGAUGAGCUUCUCUACAACCAUGUCAGUGAAAUAGGGAGAAGAACUAGAAAUUAGGGUUUCUGAGUGACAUGGAAAUAAGAUUUGUGCAGCGAAAUAAUGAGGGAAAAGAUGAAUUUGAAGAUGGAUUAAGCUCAAAUCGAGGUUAGAUUUGAUUUAGGAAGAAAAAUUUGAAUGACGGGGUUAAUGAUGAAUGUUUCUAUUAUCUCCGGUUUAGGUUAAUAAUUUUAAUGGAGUCAAAUUUAAUUGUUUUGGAAUAGCAUAAGGUGGUGAAGAUACAAAUUGAAAUGCUGCAGACCCCAAGUUUUUGCAGUAAAGACCAAUGUGCAGUCUCCUCAGUCAAGCCAACUAAAAGUUCUGAAGAGGAAGAGAAUGUUUAUUUCUAAUCAGUUCAGAACUUCCGGUUGACGCUGAAACAGUAAGAGAAUGAAGAAGUUAAUAGAAGAAACAGCACAUUCAAUAUCUUCGAGUGACAUUAAGAGGGAUUGCAAAUUUCGAGCUAAACAGGCAAUGUCUAAAGUUGUAAACACGGCCAAUUCACUGGAAAAGGCUGAGGGAUCUGAUAGGUCUGUACGAACACCUCUAAAGAAGUUAGAAGAAGGUCCUAGUUUUGAGUAUUCAAAAGAUGUUAUUGAACCGAAGAUUCUCAACCAGAUAACUCAGUGGAAGGUAAUCCAUCUCUCAUGACAUUUUAACUAUGAAAUUGAACUUAUGCUUCAUCAUCUAUCCUCAUCUUUGAAACUGAAUUGGCUCAUACAAGAUGUUUAUUUGAAUUGCAUGUUUGAGGUUACUGGCACCUUGUUUGAUCUAGCAGAAUUAGGCUGCGGGAACAUCUACGUUAGAUGACCUGACGCACCAUUAGUUGGUGCACGUAUUGAGUCUGUAAUACAGACACACCAGUCAGCGCAUUUGUUCAGCAAAGGUAGUGAAUAAACUGGUUGCAGAUGUUAAAGGAUGAAUGGGUUGGUAACAAAUCUCCAAAUGUUUGCUCUCAAGACGCUUCAGAUACCAUUACCAGGACGGCGUCCCCCAUCCGCAAGCCUGUCAAAUGGGCAUCCUAGUCCAGGGACAUACAAGACUGCUACUUCAUCGACUGACGCGGAGAUCAGGAACAGUCCAUGAAUGGAAGAUGUUGGUAUAUAUGAAUGGGUGACUGAUAUACAGGUGCUUGUUUUUUUGAAUAUAAGGGAACGUGAUGAUGCAUUUUUUUGUUUUCAUGCUAUCAGGUGUGUUUAAAGUUUGUCCCAAACUUUACACAGGCACUUUAGAUGUUUUUAAGCUUAGUUAUUACCUUUUUGAACUCUCUA